ACGUUUCGAAAGGAACGCUAAUACCGCAUACGUCCUACGGGAGAAAGUGGGGGAUCUUACGCUAACUACUAUCGGAUGAGCCUAGGUCGGAUUAGCUAGUUGGUCGAUGUAAUGGCUCACCAAGGCUACGAUCCGUAACUGGUCUGAGAGGAUGAUCAGUCACACUGGAACUGAGACACGGUCCAGACUCCUACGGGAGGCAGCAGUGGGGAAUAUUGGACAAUGGGCGAAAGCCUGAUCCAGCCAUGCCGCGUGUGUGAAGAAGGUCUUCGGAUUGUAAAGCACUUUAAGUUGGGAGGAAGGGCUGUAGGCUAAUAUCCUGCAGUUUUGACGUUACCAACAGAAUAAGCACCGGCUAACUUCGUGCCAGCAGCCGCGGUAAUACGAAGGGUGCAAGCGUUAAUCGGAAUUACUGGGCGUAAAGCUCGCGUAGGUGGUUUUGUAAGUUGGAUGUGAAAGCCCCGGGCUCAACCUGGGAACUGCAUCCAAAACUGCAUGACUAGAGUACGGUAGAGGGUGGUGGAAUUUCCUGUGUAGCGGUGAAAUGCGUAGAUAUAGGAAGGAACACCAGUA
rnacentral:rRNA from 1 species